rnacentral:lncRNA from 10 species
CCAGGUACAAAAUCCCCUGGGACAAAACAGAACUUUCAUAACUGGCUGUAGAGUUAUUGUUUUUGCCUUUUGGAAGCUUCCACCUUGUGACGGGAAGAGCACUGUCAGCCCAACACAGAAACUCUGCCGCCUGGAGUCACGUGGAUCCAGAUGCGAAGGGACUCCAACGUCAUGCUAAGGAGUUUGGGCUAAGAAUUUGUACAGCCAUAUUACAGAUUUGGAAAAUGAUGUGAAGAGAAGCUAAGGGAUUUGCCACUGCCACUCAGCUGCCAAGGAUCAGAGGCAUUACUUCUACUUCUCAACGUCCAUCCUCCAACCAUUGUCCAGUGAUUCAGGCAGAAUUCCCUCCUGCUCAGGAGGAACAGGAAUUGGUUAGCAGGGCUUUGCAUCUCCUUGGCCACAGACGUUGGGCAGGUAGCCAUCCUGUGACCCUGGAAGAAACCAGCCCAAGGAAGGUGCUAACCUACAGAAGAAGGACAUGGCCAGGGUAAUCACAUAGACCCGGAGUUGAAGCCCUGACUGCACCACACCCGAAGCCUCCCCACCUUUCAACCUCUCGGUGAUGGUGAACCAAUAAACUCUUUUUAUUGUUCAAGCCAG